rnacentral:ribozyme from 1 species
AAAUCAAACGGACAGAGCAACCACAAAAGCAGUUCUUCAUGUGUGGCCUGUUCUUCUUCUUUUUUUUUCUUUUUUUUUCACUGCCUGCCAUUACAAUAUAGCCCACCCAAAUCUGCGUGAGGCGUAGAAGGUAGAGAGGUAGAGGUAGCGUA